AAUUACUUGUAUUUUUUAUAAAGAGCAGUUGUUUGAUCAGAUGCUUAUUCUUUCACUAUUAUUUCAUUUCUAGAAUAAAAGGGCCUUUUGGUUUUUUCAGGUUACUUUUCAGAGAAAAGAUAUUGAGCUGCUUACAAUAUUUUUUUUUCCAGCUGGUACCAGAGAAUGAGCCCAGCACCACAUACAUGGGAAGCAGGCACUCAAACACUGAGAAAAGACAUUAUCUCUGAUUUCAUGGAAUUUAGAAAUGUGCAACUAAUCCAUCCACACCAUAUGGAAAUACAACCAAGAUGGCAUAUUCCAGUAAGCCAGACUUCUUCAGUGGUGGCAGCAGGAACAGUGGAUCCAAGCAGUCAAGGAACUUCUGUGUGACCACGAUGCUGGUGUGCAGUGGGUUUCCAGGCAUGAAUUCGAUGAAGCAGUGCAGAAAACCACAGCAGCCAUCAAAGGACCAUCCAGAAGGGAGUGGACUGGGAGGCCAGUGUAUCAAAUAUCAUCUUUUGAGACUUGCUUUCAAAACUACCAGCCUCACUCUCCUCACCCAAUGAGAUCAACCUACAGUUCCAGAGGUGCAUACUGCAGCCCUGCUAGGUUUGGCAGAAUGUACCAAGAAGUUUGGAGUACAUGAAGCAAAAAAACAGGUACCAGCUGAAGUAUGGGCACUGGGGACCGCCAGAAGAGCAAGAGUUGUGCAAGAGUGGAGUUACAGGACAUUAAACUGUGGAUCUAUCAUACUAGAGUCAAGCUACAACCAAUUCUGCACAGUGACUCUCUACCACUCAGCCAAAAAGCAACUGUUCCCAUCAACUGUCCUGAAGAAGCUGAAAGUAAAUAUACUUGUGAACCUCCAGAUGGACUCAAAUAUUUGUUUAAAAGGAAAAGUCCGGGAAACGGACUUUGGCCCAGUGGUUAGGGCGUCCGUCUACCAUAUGGGAGGUCCGUGGUUCAAACCCCGGGCCUCCUUGACCCGUGUGGAGCUGGCCCACGCGCAGCGCUGAUGCGUGCAAGGAGUGCCGUGCCACGCAAGGGUGUCCCCCGCGUGGGGGAGCCCCACGCGCAAGGAGUGCGCCCGGAAAGCCGCCCAGCGUGAAAAGAGAGAGCAGCCUGCCCAGGAAUGGCGCCACCCACACUUCCCGUGCCGCUGACGACAACAGAAGCGGACAAAGAAACAAGACGCAGAAGCGGACAAAGAAACAAGACGCAGCAAAUAGACACCAAGACCAGACAACCAGGGGAGGGGGGGAAAUUAAAUAAAUAAAUCUUUAAAAAAAUAAAAUAAAAUAAAAUAAAAGGAAAAGUCCUUCAUAAGUUACAGGUGGUUAUUUUAUUUGCUAUUAAUUCCCUUUUUCUUUAUUUUCCUAGGAUUAUGGAUCCUGGUUAAUUUAAUACUUAUAUUCAUUGAAAAUUAAUUCAUAAGUAACAUGAUUACUCAACUUUUACUUAAACUCUCUUUCCUAUCUUUAAUUAUAAAUCACAAGGUAAUAAACGUUUCCUUUAGUGGGCUCAUUCUUACGCUAACUCUAAAACCAGUCUAAUUGUUGGAUUUGUGGACAGUUGUCAACCUCAAGCAUUUCUGGAUUACCUUGGUGGGUAUCUCCAUUACAAGGUACUGAUUGGAGAGCUUUAAAAUAUUUCAUAAAAGAAAUGCAAAAAUGUCGAGGAACAUUAAAUACUAUAGACAUAACCAGAGCCUACCCCAAUAUUGGCCAGUAAACUUAAUAAAACCUGGUCAUCUGCUCUGAUUCUCAAAUGAUGUUACUACUAAAACUGCUUUAUAAUAUUCUUUUCAAUUAGAUGAUCAAGCCGAAAAUUUAACUGUAAGAGAAAAAGAUGGACAUUUCCAACUUUGGGAUGGAAUGGUUUGGCUCACUCCAGGUGAGUUAGUUGGCAAACUAAGUCAGGUAACACCCUAUAUCAGGAACAACCCUAAUCACUCCCAGCAACAUAACCCUUCUCUCAGUCAUAAAUUAGAACACUUAUUAACAUGAAAUUGUCAACAAAAAAUCACUUUACAAUUAAAUGAUUAGUUUGGCACUGACUGGGAACACAGACCUGGAAUUUACUGCAUAGCCCCAAAUAACACCAAUGGAUUUGUGGAACAAAUCUGUGGUCAUGGUUCCCACCAUUGUGGCUAAGAAGGUUUACCAUGGGGUUGCCGUGGGUCCAAGGAACUGUUCACACCUCCCACCCAUCUGUUGCAACUAACCUACCCCUGUUAUAAGCUAGAUGGACUCAUUCCAUCUUUCACUGGUAUGAUUAUCUAGCAGCAACUUUUGUCCCUUCCAUAGGAAUUGGGAUAUUAUAGCAAGAACAGAAGCUUUGAGCAAUUUUUUCUCUCAAGUCUUAAAUGAUAGUUACCAUAGUAUAAUGCUUAUUAAUACUGAAAUGAAUCUAAUGUGCAAGGGUGUUCUCCAAAAUCGAAUGGCAUUGGACAUUUUAAGAGCUUCUCAAAGAUGUACAUGUACUGUAAUAAAAGCUGAGUGCUUUACUUACCUCCCUGAUGAAUCUAACAAUAUAGCCAUUCUUUUGAUUCAUAUGAAUUAAUAAAGCCAGGCUACGUCAACCCCAUCUACUCCAUUCAAAUUCUUUGAUUUAUUUAGUUGGCUACCCUCUGGUAUUGGAUCCUGGCUAUGCACUAUUCUCCAAACUGGCUUCACAAUUAUUCUAAUAAUCAUAAACCUUAUGAUUCUAAAAUGUACUAUCUCCUUAUGUACUUGAUUAAUUGUUAAACCUUUUUCUUCACCUGGAGGUACUUUUCCCUCUAAUCCCUUUAACAACAAUCAGUAUUACUUACAUACCAUGUAUCAACAUUUCUACCAAGAGAUUUUUUUAACUACAUCUCAUGUCCACAGGAAGCAGUCAGAUCGAAUGAUGAAAAUUUCCAAAAAUUAAUUCCAUGAUUGGAAAUAAAAAUAUAAUCAGGGGGAAUUUGUACCCUGAACAGUUGUAUAAGCAAAACAAAUUGUACUUGUAACCUAGCAAGCACCUUAGAAUAGAUAUAGAGUUUCUAUAGAAAACCACAUAGUCCUGUCAAGUUUAAUAUUAACCAGACCUUUUACUUCUCUUUCUUUGUAAAGAAAAUGCACAACAUAUCCUCAUAACUUCAUUUAUUCCCUAUUCUGACCACUGUGAAACUUAAAGGCACAAUAUAUAUCUUAAAUGUUAAUCAGAGCAGAAAAAUUAGAAAAGCGCUCUAAAUCCCUUCCCAAGGAUGAGUCUAUGAUUAAUUUUCUUUGUUUCAAAUCAUGUCUGUGAUUAAUUCUCUUUAUGUCAAACCUGUAUUAUAAAGGCUGUUGAAAAAAAAAAAAACCUUGAUUAGGCGAAAGACUUGAUAUUGGUUAGCUCUCCUGUCUCUGUUGACUAACAAAGCCCCUUUACCUUCCCAGCCUACUUCGGUAUGUCUGUCUCCUCUGCCAUGCUGAGCAAUGAGCCCAUGGACUGUUCCAUUCUCCUUCAGUUUCUUUACAAAUGGGUUUUGAUUACAUGUUUAUCUAUAACUUAGUUGCUGAAUAAGUCAUUUUUGUAAGUGUCCAGUUCUUUUUGAGUAACUUUGUAUUUUCAAAAUAAAGAUUUUUGGAUGUACAGUUUCUAUCCUGC
rnacentral:lncRNA from 1 species